UUCCUUGGUCAAAUUAGAGGAAGUAAAAGUCGUAACAAGGUUUCCGUAGGUGAACCUGCGGAAGGAUCAUUGCUGAUUUUUUCAUAGGGGAGAGGGGAAUCCCUCUCUCUCCGACCGACACCUCCGUGCACUCUGGGGGGACCAGUCACACGGUCCCCCCGUUUUCUUUAUGAACGCCUGUAUUCUCGCGCGUAUAUAUAUGAAAAAACCCCUUUGGGGGUAAAAACGAAAUACAACUUUCAACAACGGAUCUCUUGGCUUUCGCAUCGAUGAAGAACGCCGCGAACGCGCGAAACGUAAUGUGAAUUGCAGAAUUCAGUGAAUCAUCGAAUCUUUGAACGCACCUUGCGCUCCUCGGUAUUCCGAGGAGCAUGCCUGUUUGAGUGUCGUGAAGUCUCAUCGAGAAACGCGGUCCCUUUCUUUGGGUUCCGUUCCGUUCUCGGACUUGGACGGUCUUUGCCCCUCGAUUGGGGGGGCUCGUCUUCAAAUUCAUCGGCGAGGUUUCCGUCCUUCCUCUCGAGACGUGAUAAGUCUUUUGCGUCUUUAUCUUGAGGGGGGUCGGGUCCCGUCCGCACGCUCACACCACUUUUAACGCCUUGACCUCAAAUCAGGCAGGAUUACCCGCUGAACUUAAGCAUAUCAAUAAGCCGGAGGAAA
rnacentral:rRNA from 1 species